ensembl:lincRNA Gm6297 predicted gene 6297
AAGGGCCUUGUGGGGGUGGACUCAAGCCCGGGUUCCCGAGCCUCGUAGAAUCUUCUAGAGGCUUUUUUUCUUAUUGCGAGGAACCAGAGUGCGGAAGUCUUGAGGUGGAGAGGUCAUGUCCCAGAGCCCGUAAGCCGGGGACGAGUGCUUCAGGCGUUGUGCGCGCUGUGCUGAAGGGGAUUGGUGGAACCCAGCCCUGGCUGCGAGUCUGAUUUUCUGCAGCUCCAGCUCCUUAGCUCUGAGCCUUGCGGGCAAGAAAUGCUGAGCAAGGCGGGCCUACUCCCUAAACCAGCCUCGCAGGCUUUGGUUUCACCCAAGCGCACUUAUGUCAGAGCUUUUUGGACGAGCCUGGCCCAGGCUUCAGAUCCUUUUGGCUCUGACGACUUGGGCGGAGGGAAUCUGGGACUUCACCAAACAGGAAAACAUUUAGAAUGCCUCAUGCUAACGGAGGGUCAUGGUCUUCCACCCAGUUUGGCCGCAGAGGAGCGGCCAAAAGCAAAAUUGAUUGCUUUAGCUUAUUGUUUUAAUUCUCUGACCGUUUUUAUUUACAGUUGGUGACUCAAAAAUCUAUAGUUGGCAAAGUUGAAUCUUAAGCUUUCAAAGGACAGAGUGAAUGUUUUUCUUAUUCAGUAACACAAUAGACACAUCAAAGAAGUGGAGGUGUAAGCUUGAAAGAGUUCACAUAUUUUAAAGAUUUAUUUUGAAUCCUGUGUGUGUGUGUGUGUGUGUGUGUGUGUGUGUGUGUAGGUGCCCAAGGAAGUCAGAGGCAUGGAGUCUUAAGUCUGGCUUCAAAUUCUGAAAUCUGUCUCUGAGCAGUUGUGAAGGGUGGUACAUGCUCUUAACCGCGGGGCUUCUUGCUUGGACUUUCGUUGGAAGUGGAACAAGCUAAAAACUUAUAAGAGAAAUCACAAAAUACAGGCUUGUGGACCAUUGUAGUUCUCUCGUACCUUUGCACGGGUAACUCAAGUCUUCAGUGCGUUACCAGCUGAGCGGCUGUCUCAGUGCUUUAUGGAGAUCACAGGUAAUUGGAUGUAGCCAGAGCUAAGGGAGCUGGAAAGGCUGUCUUCAAACCUACCCAAAGACAUCUUUAGCUCGUGGUCUUAAAAACCUCCGGAUUUUGGGAUUUCUACCUUGAGCUGUCCUGCCUCUCCACCGUUACUGCUUUCACUAAACUCUGUUGUAGUCACUAAAGCUACGCUACUUCCCUUACAGACUUUUUGAUGAUGUGCUGUGGUUUUGGUUGAGAAACAUCUUUUCUCAGCUUACGUGUUACCCUCUCAGAUAUCACAUCUAUCAAUAGGUUACGUCUUUAAAGCAGGGGCUCUUUACCUUCCUAACGCUGCGACCCUUUAUUACAGCUCCUCAUGUUGUGGUGUCCCCCAACCAUAAAAUUAUUUUCAUUGCUUCUUCAUAACUGCAAUGUUGUUACUGCUGUGAAUUGUAAUAUAAAUAUGUGCCAAAGGUUUUCCGAAGGGAUCAAAACCCACAGGUUUGAGAACUGCUGCUUUAAGCCAACACUUUUGAGUAAAAUAUCUACUAUGCCAGGCAUACUCUAGGCCUUGCCAAUACAAAACUCUUGUAAGCCAUGGCCCCUACUCUCAAGGAACUUAACUCGUAAUGAGAUUAAAAACCAGAAUUAAAAACAAAAAACCAAACCAAAACCAUCCAACCAACCAACCAAAAUUGCAGGACUAGGCUGAUAAAGUCUGCCUUUAAUCCCAGCACUCUGAAGGCAGAGGUAGGCAGAUCUCUAAUAUAGAGGCCAGGCCAGUCUACAUAGCAGGUUCCAGGGCAGCCAGAGCUACAGAGUAAGAAAGACCCUGUCUCAAAACAAACCAAACAAAAAACCUCGAAAAUUACCAGCAACUUCAUAUGUGAUAAUUUUGUGUGGAAAUGAGAUCUUAGCUUAGUUUGGUAGUUCUGAAAAUUCAGAACUAGGAAGCAGAACCAGGAGGCUAGUGAACUCAAGAUCACUUGAGUUAGGUGUGACACCGUCUUUGGAGUGGGAAUAUAACACAUAGAAUGAGUGCUUCUUAUUCUGUUCAAGGCCCUAGGUAUGAUUCCUAGGACUGCAAGAAGAAGAAAGAAAACUAUCUUGCAUGUGUUGUUUACAACGGAUUAUUUUGUUGGGGUAAAUAAAUCAGCCUUGUUAUUUUUUG